AACAGCACCUGCCUGAAUGGUGGACGUUGUGUCAGAGUAGGCAACAGAAAUUACACGUGCGUGUGCAGUUCAGGGUUCACGGGAGUCAACUGUACAUACAGAAACUCCACUUUUGGAUGUUUGAGCAAUCCUUGCCUGAAUGGCGGAUCCUGUUUGAGGGGCGUCAACAACUCCUACAGAUGCUUCUGUCGCUCUGGAUACACAGGCUUCAACUGUGCCACGAGGAACACAAGCAAUCCGUGUGGAAACAGCACCUGCCUGAAUGGUGGACGUUGUGUCAGAGUAGGCAGCAGAAAUUACACGUGCGUGUGCAGUUCAGGGUUCAC